rnacentral:rRNA from 1 species
AUCUGCCCUUCACUGGGGAAUAACUAACCGAAAGGUUAGCUAAUACCGCAUGAGGCCACAGUUUCCGAGGAUACAGUGGUUAAAGAUUUAUUGGUGAAGGAUGAGUCUGCGUGGGAUUAGCUAGUUGGUGAGGUAAUGGCUCACCAAGGCGACGAUCUCUAACAGGUCUGAGAGGAUGACCUGUCACACUGGAACUGAGACACGGUCCAGACUCCUACGGGAGGCAGCAGUAGGGAAUAUUGCGCAAUGGACGAAAGUCUGACGCAGCGACGCCGCGUGAGUGAUGAAGGCCUUAGGGUCGUAAAGCUCUGUUGCAGGGGAAGAAAAAAAUGACGGUACCCUGCGAGAAAGGAUCGGCUAACUUCGUGCCAGCAGCCGCGGUAAGACGAGGGAUCCUAGCGUUGUUCGGAAUCAUUGGGCGUAAAGCGCAUGUAGGCUGCCAUUCAAGUCAGUUGUGAAAGCCCCGGGCUCAACCCGGGAAGUGCUUCUGAUACUGUUUGGCUUGAGUACUAGAGAGGAUAGUAGAAUUCCAGGU